GACGAACGCUGGCGGCGUGCCUAAUACAUGCAAGUCGAACGCAGUGGGGACGGGUGAGUAACACGUGGGUAACCUCCCAUCAGAGGGGAUAACACUUGGAAACAGGUGCUAAACCGAUACUGAUGGAUGGACCCGCGGUGCAUUAGCUAGUUGGUGAGGUAACGGCGCACCAAGGCCACGAUGCAUAGCUGGUCGGAGAGGGUGAUCGGCCACACUGGGACUGAGACACGGCCCAGACUCCUACGGGAGGCAGCAGUGGGGAAUAUUCGGCAAUGGACGAAAGUCUGACGGAGCAACGCCGCGUGAGUGAAGAAGGCCUUCGGGUUGUAAAACUCUGUUGUUAGAGAAGCGGUAUCUACCCAGAAAGCCACGGCUAACUCCGUGCCAGCAGCCGCGGUAAUAC
rnacentral:rRNA from 1 species